GGGGGUAUGGUGCAGUGGUAGCAUGUACGCUUUGCAUGCGUAAGGUCCGGGGUUCAAACCCCCGUGUCUCCA
rnacentral:tRNA from 3 species